rfam:Ictidomys tridecemlineatus contig001924, whole genome shotgun sequence.
UGGGGUGUAACUCAAUGAUGGAGCGCUUGUCUAACUUGUCUGAGGUCCUGGGUUCAAUCCCCAGCACCUCAC